rnacentral:pre_miRNA from 13 species
CUCCUGUGCCUACUGAGCUGAAAACAGUCGGAUAUCAGACACUGGCUCAGUUCAGCAGGAACCGGAG